rnacentral:lncRNA from 1 species
AUCAACAGAAAGAAGCAAACAAGUUCCAUUUGGGAGUGCCUGCUGAUCUGUUCUCCCAGUAGGAGCUGCCAUCCUGUUCAAGAAGUCACUGGUGGACCAUAUCAACCAGAUCACUUUUUGUCCACAUGCUUGCUGACCAAGUCAAAAAGCACUUGAGAGGCCUGGAAGGAGGCCUUGUCUAAUCUGAGUUUGAAUAUGCAGCAGGACAGAACUUGGCAGUCACUUUUGAGUGAAAAGAAGGCUCGUAUUACAGCAAAGUGCUGAAACCUUAAGAGAGGAAGGAUUCCAAAUGAUAACAGACCCUUCAAACCCAACUA